GAGGCAGCAGUGGGGAAUCUUAGACAAUGGGCGCAAGCCUGAUCUAGCCAUGCCGCGUGAGCGAUGAAGGCCUUAGGGUUGUAAAGCUCUUUCAGUGGGGAAGAUAAUGACUGUACCCACAGAAGAAGCCCCGGCUAACUCCGUGCCAGCAGCCGCGGUAAUAC
rnacentral:rRNA from 1 species